GUCCACGCCGUAACGAUGAAUACUAGGUGUCGGUGGCAAGCCAUUCGGUGCCGCAGCAACGCAAUAAGUAUUCCACCUGGGAGUACGUUCGCAAGAAUGAACUCAAGAAUUGACGGGCCCGCACAAGCGGUGGAGUAUGUGGUUAAUUCGAUGCAACGCGAAGAACCUUACCUAGGCUUGACAUCCAGGGAACCUUCCCAAAGGAAGGUGCUCUUCGGAGAACCCUGAGACAGGUGCUGCAUGGCUGUCGU
rnacentral:rRNA from 1 species